rnacentral:rRNA from 1 species
GGGACAACAUUCCGAAAGGGAUGCUAAUACCGAAUGUGCUCCCUCCUCCGCAUGGAGGAGGGAGGAAAGAUGGCCUCUGCUUGCAAGCUAUCGCUGGAAGAUGGGCCCGCGUCUGAUUAGCUAGUUGGUGGGGUAACGGCUCACCAAGGCGAUGAUCAGUAGCCGGUCUGAGAGGAUGAACGGCCACAUUGGGACUGAGACACGGCCCAAACUCCUACGGGAGGCAGCAGUGGGGAAUCUUCCGCAAUGGACGAAAGUCUGACGGAGCAACGCCGCGUGAGUGAUGAAGGUCUUCGGAUUGUAAAACUCUGUUGUUAGGGACGAAAGCACCGUGUUCGAACAGGUCAUGGUGUUGACGGUACCUAACGAGGAAGCCACGGCUAACUACGUGCCAGCAGCCGCGGUAAUACGUAGGUGGCAAGCGUUGUCCGGAAUUAUUGGGCGUAAAGAGCAUGUAGGCGGGCUUUUAAGUCUGACGUGAAAAUGCGGGGCUUAACCCCGUAUGGCGUUGGAUACUGGAAGUCUUGAGUGCAGGAGAGGAAAGGGGAAUUCCCAGUGUAGCGGUGAAAUGCGUAGAUAUUGGGAGGAACACCAGUGGCGAAGGCGCCUUUCUGGACUGUGUCUGACGCUGAGAUGCGAAAGCCAGGGUAGCAAACGGGAUUAGAUACCCCGGUAGUCCUGGCCGUAA